AUGGCGACUAAAUGUACUAGUACUCUCGAAUGCACACAAGCAACAGAAGUAUUUAAAUCCGGCCACCAAGCAGAGAUGAGAUAUACGGCAACACUAAUCACAGUUGACCAAAAGCAACCACAAUCAGCAACAGCAAGCCAGCUUACUCCUUCGGCAGGAACAGCCGCACCAAGCAGUUUCCUAGCGUCAGAGUACGGCAAAUACCAGGAGUACGCUCAGCCACACCGGACGGCGGUCGGCACGCAACAGGCAGCAGUAGACUGUCGCGGCGCUCCUUGUCGCAGCUUUGAGAUAACCUCGCAGGUCCCAGGAGCAGCUCGAGUGCGCAACAAUCACCACCGAUAG
rnacentral:rRNA from 1 species